rnacentral:lncRNA from 1 species
ACACAUGCUUCCUCACACAAAAUUCAUUCAUACACCAUGCCUAGCAUCAUGACCACAAUCAUAAAUUCAUCACCCAUCUAUUUCAUGGAUAUCAUCAUGCAUUACUACUCAAUUCUCUUCCACAUCAAAUAAUCAUCAAAUAGAUCCAUCAUGCAAAUUAGUUAGCCAAACAUUUUCAGAACAAGUAAUAAAGCCAAGAAUACACACCAAAAUUAAAAUUCAACUUAUUCUAGGAAUUUAAAAUGCAAAAGUGUAAGAAGAAAUUCUAGGUUGCCUCCUAGUAAACAUCACGAGCCUGACCCAAACCUGGUUGGCACUUGUCAGUAAGUGCACUACCUUCCACCACCCAACAGUAGGUGUACCUUCCGGAUGUCCUUCGGUAGAUACCUAUAUCUUCUAACAUCCCCCAGUAGAUGCUAUCCCAGUAGCACUCAUCAGUAAAUGCUAAUCUUUCUAAUCUUCAUUGGCAUCCAUCAGUAAAUGCCAUAUCACCUAACAUCCAUCAGUAGAUGUUGUAUAAGCAUCCAUCAGUAGAUGCUAUCAUCACUACCAUCAGACGCAACGCAUAACCAAAAAAAAAUAAACAAAUAAAAUAAAAUAAAAUAAAACCAAAUCAAAUAAAAUCAAAUAAAAUAAAAAAAAUCAAAUAAAAGAAAAUAAAAUAAAAUAAAAUAAAAUCAAAACGAAAUUGAAGAUAAAAAUUAAGAAACUGGGUUGCCUCCCAACAAGCACUCUUUUAACGUCAUUAGCUUGACCCGGUAAAACCCAAACACCCAUCAGUAGGUGUUGAAAUUUUAUGUUGGUGUUCCUCCUUCCUUCGUGACACCAACAACAUCUCGGAAAUUUCCUUUGUCACCAACUGUAAGAGCUGUGUUUGCUUUGAUAGUCUCGACAACCCAUAACCUAAUUUUGAAUUUCAUUGAUGUGCCAGGUUAGGGUUUGUUACUUUUCACAUCAGGGUGUUGGUGAACCAAUUCUCCUUCUUUAUCUGCCUCCUGAUGGUCAUGUGCUCCUAGUACCAAAAAUUUUAUCCUGCAUACACUAAAGAACACUGCACUAGAGCAUAAAAU